rnacentral:lncRNA from 1 species
UAGAAAUUUUGAUCGACACAAAUAUGGUAACGACACUUACUUUUGGAACAGAGGGAGAAAUCUCAUAUAUCUCGAUGGGACAACUAUGCAGUCAUAUGGACAUGAUGUAAACCAAUUACUGUACUCCGUCGAGAAACAAUAUGCACUUCUCGAUUUUUCAAAAGUCAACAAAAUUCAAGUUUGAGUGAGUUUAUAGAAAACAGUAUCAAUGUUCAUAUUUUUAAAUAGAUUUACUUUGCAAAUAUAUUUUAUGAUACUUGGUAUUAUAAAUAUUAGUAUUUUUAUAUAGAUUUGGUCAAACUUAAAAUUAUAUGACAUUUUUAAAAACGUUGAGCCGAGAGAGUAUCUCCGACUGGCAUAUAUGUACCUCAGAACAGACGUUUACAAGAGCAGAAAGGCAGUGUCAUGUGUGGAACAAGACGUGUACAAGAGCAGAAAAAGGCAGUGCCAUGUGUGAAUGUCCGCUCAUAUACUAACCGGGGUGAUAUAGAACAAGGGAAACUCACAUGCACGCUGUAGCAACAGGAAGCAUUAGGACAAGGUUGACAGAGAAGACGCACAAAAGCCUUUCCCAAACAUCCACACACAUUCUUUCUGGAAACUACGAUAUCCCCCCCUUUCCCACUAGUACAUCAGAAGCAUCCAACCAAAGGGACAUGUUGCACCAGUACAUGCAUACAUGGGUCAUCUCAAAAAAAAAAAAAAGGAAAACCCAUGCAUGCAUCUAGCAUAUCCGUAUCCUACUCUGAAAAAACAACCACAAGCACUGCUACAGAAAUCUAGCAAUACUGCAUAAAGUGAUUCAGUAUUGGAAUUGUUUUCUCGGUCAAUUCCAGUUCAAUCUACCGCCACCUUGAUAAAUUGGUUCAAACAGAGCCACCCUAGAAAUGCAUUCGUAGAGAAUGGCCGUUCAGCCGUCUCUACAAAUCCUCUCUAUUUUUAUAGAUGACUCUUCAAGCUGCAGCUGUCUCCAAAAAUAAAUUUCUAGAGAUAACUAGAUCUAAAGCCGUCUCUAAGAUGAUUUGUAGACGUGGCUACAUCUAAAGGCUUCUUAAAAAAGCCACAGCACGGUAAAAGAUUUUUAAAAUAGCCUCGGAUAGAUAAGUAAUCUAAAGUAAAUUUGUAGAUCUCGAGAAGCUAUAUAACUUUAUAGUUGAUAAAUUUUUUAUUUAAAAUAAU